CAUAUCUCCUGAUCGGACUCGAAAAGAAUUCAAAUGGGCAGUAAAAAAGAAAAGAAAAGCAGAAGGUAGCCCACUGCAAAAGGAGCACAAAAUGGGGACGCCCUAAAAUUAUGGAAAAGUUCUCCAGUUAUUAUCUUUAAGAAUCAUUAGCCAUAGGGAAGUGUGAAAGUGAAAAGCUAGCCAAUAGUAAACAUGAUGUUAAUCCUCCAUUGAAGGCACCUUAACUCGAACUAGGUCUAUUCUAUAGUUUGUAUAACUGUGUCCUUGUGUUCUACCACACGUUUGAGGUCCCACAUCAGUUGGAGAGGAGAAUGAAGCUGCGUUUUAAAAACCUCUCCCUUAUAAGGGUGUGAAAACCUCUCUAUAGCAAACAUGUUAGGAAAACCCAGGACAAUAUCUGCUAGCGGUGGGCUUAGGUUGUUACUCAACUAGUGUUAAGAC